rnacentral:misc_RNA from 1 species
GGAAGUAAAGUCGUAACAAGGUUUCCGUAGGUGAACCUGCGGAAGGAUCAUUAUUGUAUAACCGAGGUGCGAGGGCUGUCGCUGACCCGAAAGGUCGUGCACGCCCGAGUGCCCUCACACACAUCCAUCUCACCCCUAUGUGCACCACCGCGUGGGUCCCCCUUUGGCUUGUUCGGAGGGGGGCUUACGUUUUCACACAAACUUUGUAUGCAGGGUAGAAUGUAUUUUUUGUUUUUGCGAUCACGCAAUCAAUACAACUUUCAACAACGGAUCUCUUGGCUCUC